rnacentral:rRNA from 1 species
UACGAGGGGUGCAAGCGUUGCUCGGAAUUAUUGGGCGUAAAGGGUAGGUAGGUGGUCUUAUUUGUCUGGGGUGAAAUCCUUGAGCUUAACUCAAGAAGUGCCCCAGAAACGGUAAGACUAGAGUCCUGGAGAGGGUCGUGGAAUUCCCGGUGUAGCGGUGAAAUGCGCAGAUAUCAGGAGGAACACGGUGGCGAAGGCGGGUCUCUGGGCCGAUACUGACGCUGAGGAGCGAAAGCGUGGGGAGCAAACAGG